GGGGAUGAUUUUGGUUUUGACAAAGAUGGUUCAAGACUUUAAAUGGCAAUCCAGGUAUCGCGCUGUCUGCCUGCUAAUUAGUCCAGCGCAACUUAAGUGCAAACGCAUUUAAAUCUCUUGGUUCACGUUUUGCUAAAGCAAAGGCAUCUUUUGCCCCCGCUUUCGCUUAUGCGUAAACCAAAACGACCGCCAAUCCGCGGUCUCGUCUGUUCAGGGGACACCUGCUAGCCUGGACAGGCGUUAUCCAGCAGGUUAAGCGUUUAUCACACCCCUGGAGGGGUAAACGCCGACAAUCCAAACCAGGUAAGCGUUCGUGUUUUUGUUGGCUUCUAUGCGCACGCCGAAAAAACAAACCGACUAUGAUUGUAGAGGUUUAAAAUCUUCAUCUUUGGACGCGAGUUCAAAUCUCGCCAUCUCCAUUU
rnacentral:tmRNA from 1 species